GUUCGUUCAUUGAUGUCGUAUCCACUCCAAUGCACUAAAUACUCCAAUUUUCUCCUAUUACGCCAUGAAUCUAGUACCUUUUCCACCUCGUAUUCCUCAUGGUUUUCAAUUUCGAUACUUGGUGGCGGACUUUGUACUCUUUGGAGAAAAGCUGACUCUCGAUAAGGUUCCAACAAAGACACGUGAAAGACUGGAUGUA
rnacentral:lncRNA from 1 species